CAAAAGAAAGUGACAGAAUAUGAGCAAAAUGAUGUGAGUGAAAUAAAUGGUAAAUAGGACGAGAAAGAAGAUGAGUGCUGGGAUGGUUAAACACGUAUCCAUGGCUUCCCUAAAGCUUAUGCUGCUGUUGUUCAUUCUCAGCUUCCUUCACUUGAACACAUGCAAAGCACAAGACCAGAACUCCGACCCCGUCUACCUGUAUCGUAGCUGUUCAGGCGGCAACACCACCGCCAACAGUGCCUACCAACUAAACCUCGGCACCCUCCUCACUUCCCUAUCUUCCAACGCCUCCACAGAAUUCUCCAACAACACUGUCGGAACAUCCUCCUCCGACAGGGUGUACGGACUGUUCAUGUGCAGGGGAGACGUGCCCUCUACCCUUUGUCACCAGUGCGUGUUGAACGCAACGCGACGUCUCCGCUCGGAGUGCUCUCUGGCCAAACAAGCCGUCAUAUGGUACGACGAGUGCACGGUUCGCUACUCCAACCUCUCUUUCUUCUCCACGGUGGCCACUCGGCCGCGUCUCGCACUAUACAACACCGGCAACAUAUCCAACCAAGAAACCUUCAUGAACCGGCUUUUCUUAACCAUGAACACAACCGCGGAUGAGGCUGCCAACUUUCCCAUGGGUGUGAAGAAAUACGCGACGAAGCAGACAACCAUUUCUGGGUUUCAGUCUCUGUACUGUUUGGCUCAGUGCACACCCGAUCUGUCCCCGCGAGACUGCAGAAGUUGUCUCAGUCGUGUGAUUGGAGACCUUCCUUGGUGCUGUGAUGGAAAGAAGGGAGGAAGGGUUCUCUAUCCUAGCUGCAAUGUUAGAUACGAACUCUACCCUUUCUACCGCCAGGCCACACCCACGCCUUCACCUUCACCCUCACCGCCCCUACUUCCUCUUACUUCCGCUAAUUCCCAAGGUAUAAUCUUCACACUUCAAUUGCAACACUCUCUCACUAUUAAUACUGUUCUUCUCUGAUCAAAAUUUAAAGUUUAUAACAAAAGCAUAGAAUAAAUAAAUAAAUAAAGGGAACGUAUACAAGUAACAUGAAGUCCUCAAUGUAGGCUAAUGUUUGUAAUACAUUCCUUCCACGUAUACACAAGACCAUACCAAAAUUACAGCAAGAACCAGAAGCAUCUGUGAUGCUUCAAAAGCAGCUGUAAUGCUAGAGCAAUCAGACAACAUAAGCAGCACUUCCCUAACUAUAGCUGCAGAACUAGAAACUGCAUCAUACUGCAGCUAGAUAACCAGAAAACAGCAAACCAACAGCCAGAAUUGGCUCAAACUUAGCACUUCAAGCAGUUAUUAACCAACUAGGAACUGACCCAGCAUAUCUCAAUUGCCAAAGAGCAUAUGAUGCAUUGAAUCUGAGAUGAUACUGAACCGAUUCUGCAAUGAGUCUAGAACACCGGCAGAACCAAUUAUCAGAACCUUCACAUGCAGAAUGAACAAAUCCUAAACUGCAGAAUGGACGAACCAAACCUUCAUCUGCCUUGUUCUAUAUGAUGUAGAUGUGAGGAACGUGCAGAAAAGUGUAAGCAUCAUUAGCUGUGAAGUCAUCUCCCAAAAGUGCAUAUUCUCUGGUUGUGUUUGAAUAGGAAAAGGCAACCCCAACAGGGGAUUCCAGGGAUAACAUUGUUCUGAUGUUUGGGAUUGGGAUGGAUGCAGGAGGCGGUGGGAUCUCAGCUGGGACCAUUGUUGCGAUUGUGGUUCCAAUUUCGGUCGCCGUGCUUCUAUGUGUAGUGGGAAUUUGUUUCUUGAGUAGAAGAGCCAGGAAGAAGCGGGGUUCUGUAAAGGAAGGAAAAAGUAAGGAUCCACGAAAAAGAUACUCAUUUUUUCCUCUCUUUUUUCAAAUGAAUGAUUUCAUCUUACGCGUUUGUUUUGGGUUUCUAGACGUAGAUGGCAUCUCUACUGUGGAAUCCUUGCAAUUCGGUUUCGGCACGAUUGAAGCCGCCACAAACAGUUUCUCAGCGGACAACAAGCUGGGGGAGGGUGGAUUUGGUGAGGUUUUCAAGGUAAGAAACUAGCCUACUUUUUUUGUUAGAUCGAUUCUCGGAUGUGUAAUUCAGUUAUAUUUGGAAAAUUUCAGGGCACUCUUCCGAGUGGACAAGAAAUAGCUGCCAAGAGACUCUCGAAAAGCUCUGGGCAAGGUGGAGAAGAAUUUAAGAAUGAAGUGGUGGUGGUUGCCAAGCUCCAACAUAGAAACUUGGUGAGGCUUCUCGGGUUUUGCUUGCAAGGAGAAGAGAAGAUACUUGUUUAUGAAUAUGUUCCCAACAAAAGUCUCGACUACACUCUCUUUGGUAGGAUCUCACAAUCCUUCUGAACUAUGUUAUACUUUAUAUGCUAGCUUUUUUUUCUCUUCCAGUGUUUUCCUUUUUGGCAUCUUCACUAAUAGGCGACCACAAUAAACUUCACUUCACAUUCAAAGUGUUGCAAUGUUGCUUCUAGAUUACUUCACUUUUAUUUGACACUCUUUGGCCAAUUUGUAGACCCUGAAAAGCAAAGUGAGUUGGAUUGGAUGAGACGUUACAAGAUUAUUCAAGGGACUGCUCGAGGCAUUCAAUAUCUUCACGAAGAUUCUAGACUUAGAAUUAUACAUAGAGAUCUUAAAGCAAGUAAUAUAUUGUUAGACAGUGAUAUGAAUCCAAAAAUCUCAGAAUAUUUGGAGUUGAUCAAACUCAAGGAAACACCGACAGAAUUGUAGGGACAUAGUAAGUACAGAUUUCUAUCUUCCUUACUGGACCAGAUUUCUGUCUUUUGUUUUCUGUGCUGACGAUUGUGUUGGUUAUUCAAUCCAUAUUCUAUACAUAUACAGUGGUUAUAUGGCUCCAGAAUAUGCAAUGCAAGGAGAGUUCUCUGUUAAGUCUGAUGUGUACAGUUUUGGAGUCCUCCUUAUGGAGAUCAUAAGCGGCAAGAAGAACAGCUCUUUCUAUCAAACAGAUGGUGCUGAGGAUCUACUGAGCUAUGUAAGUAGAGCAGAUAUUUAGCUUCCUUGGGCUAAUUCAUUCAAAUGGAGUAUUCUAGUGAAAAACAAAUACUUGAUGUAACUUUUUUGCAGGCGUGGCUACUUUGGAAGGAUGGAACACCCUUGGAACUGAUGGACCCCAUGUUAAGAGAAUCCUACAAUGAGAUUAAAAUCAUCAGAAGCAUCCAUAUUGGUCUGCUCUGUGUCCAAGAAGAUCCCGAAUACAGACCUACAAUGGCAACAAUAGUUCUUAUGCUAGCUAGUAACAGUGUUACUCUACCAACUCCUAAGCGGCCUGCAUUUUUCAUCCACAGUGGAACAGAUGCAACCAUGCCAAAAGGGCAGCAAUUUGAUCAGUCUAUGACAAAAUCAUUACUAAUGUCUAUCAACGAUGUUUCCAUUAGCGAAAUGGAUCCUAGAUAAGCUUCAUUGCUUGGAGAUUUUAGAAUGUAUCAUUAUUCACCUACUUAUUUGUCGUACGCAUGACUGUACUUCGAAAUCUUGGAACACUUUGAACUGUAUUCUAGUCGCUUAUUUUUCAGCUAGAAGUAAUAUAUGCAGGUAGGCUAUAUUGUUUUCUCCCAGAAAAAUGUGAAAUGUACAUAUUUGGUGACAGGAAUUUUUGAAAUGUAUGGGACAUAGUAAAGACUCGUCGAGUUGCUAUUUUGUUCCACAUUUACAAGCUUAAAUAACCUAUUAACUAAUAAGUGUCAAUGUGUAGUUUUUAUGAUUGAAAAAAUUUAACACUUUGGAACUUAAUUGUUGCAUAAUGUAAAAAAAAUACCCUAAUCUGAGAAUUAUUGAAUCUGCUUAUAUAUUUUGAACCAAGAAACAAAUGAAGAAAUUUAAUCUCAAUUUUUAUGUAAAUUGUGGAUGAAUAUGAAGCAUUGAAAGAAUGUAUGCAAGCUGGUAUUGAAAGAAAGAAAGCAAAAACUUAAUUGGAUCACAAGAAGAUUUAGCUCAAGCUAGAGGAUUUAGCUCAAGCUAAAUAUGUCCAGAGUUGAUUAAAGGUGCAGUACUAAUCUAGCCCAGGCUAGAAUUGCUAGCUCAAGCUAAAAAUGCACCGAAAGAUCUAGCUUAAGCUAAAUUGGCUCGUUUGAGCUAAAGUUCAUUAUAUAAAUUUUGAAACACAACUCAAAAGGAAGUGGUGGAAAAUGAUUGGAUCUUUAGAGAGAAGUUAGUGAGAGAAGAAGAAGGAGACCUCUGUUCUUAGGAGAAGAACGUGCUCAGAUCAGCCCCUUCUUAUGCAAUCCAGAUCAAGAAUGAAGAUUGGAGGAACUGUCAUGAGUGGCUAAGUUCUUUCUAACUUGGGAUUGAAUGUAAUUUACCUUGAUCAAAUGUAUUUUUGGUGAUAUAUAUAUAUAUAUAUAUAAUAUUAUCUUUUCUACUUAUUCUUGGUAUUUUCGUUUUAUGCUUAUUGCUUGAUUCUGUCUGAUCAAUAGAGUCUUAAUUUUGAUCCUUAAAACCUUUAAGGAUCUGAAAUAGACAAAAAUACUUGAUAACUUGUAAUGAUAGGAAUAGAUUCCAGGUUAUUGAUUGCAUCAUAAUUCUGCUUCUAAAGUUGGAUGAUUUGUUAAAUAUCUGAGGAAUCAGUGUUUGAGAAAUUAUGUUAUGAAUUUCAUCUUUGAGGAAUCAAGGUGAAUGACUUUAAAUUAAGCAUAAAAAAUAAGUAGUUUUGAGUAUUAUAAAUUGUAUUAUUCCAAAAUACAGAUGAUUGAGAUAGACGCAAUUCAAUCCCAAGUAUUUUUCUCUAUAUUUAAUAAGUUAGUUUUGUCUUUGGUUGAAUCAAACCCUAAAUCUCUGAGUUACUAAUGAAAUCUUUAAUUUGAUUAUGAACAUGUUCUCAAAAUUAUUUUCUAUAUUUAAUGAGUUAUAUAAUAGAACAUCUUAAUUAGAAUUGUUCCUUGUGGGUUCGACAUUCAUACUUUAAAAAGUAUUAUAUUACAGUUGAUUCAGUACACUUGCCGAGAAAAAUCAACAUUAACCAACUUAUCUUGUAUUUAAACAAUAUUAAUUUGCAUCCAAAAUAUGUGGCUGUGCAUAUUCAAUGAGUAACCUAUGUGCAAUAGUAAGGAUUUUGCAACUUUUAUUGACAGACAACUAAGGGAGAGUUAGACACUAUUGAUUUAUGUUUUUUUGUUCUUGAAUCUUUAAGGAUUUAAAAUUUAUGCGUAAAACUCAACCUAGAGAAACAAUCAUGCAGAAGUGGUUGAUUGGGAAGACUUGGUCUACUUGUCAUGUUUCAUCUUCUGAUGCUUAACAACAGUUUUCUGUUUAUCAACUUCUUGACUUGUGUAUGAACAAGUGUUCCUUUCAUCGCAGUCCCCACACAAACGCAUCCUCUCAGAGACUUUGGGUCUUCGCUCAUUUAUGUUAGACACCCAUUACUCAUAUUUUCCAUCAAACGUGUUGGACUUUUCUUCCUUGUCCCAUAUUCACACUGAAUCAUUCAAAUAAUAUCUUUGCUUGACUUGCUUCAUUGACUUGCCACCUGCUUCAUGUAUCACUAACAUCCAUAUUUCUAAUUUAUGGAUUAUAUGAAUUUCACUUUUACUUUUUUAAUACUUGUUUUCGCACGCUGCAUUGUUUUUUUAAGAAACAUGGUACAAAACAAAGUGACAAAAUACGUGCAAAAUGAUGUAAGUGAAAUAAAUGAGAAAUAGGACGAGAAAAGGAAAAUAGAGCUUUUGAAAGGGAGAACAAAUACUGAAGUUUUUUGAUAUAUUGAGUUAAUUCAUCAAAAUCAAAGCUAUACCAAUGUAAAGGAAGUAGAGGAUGGUAGUUCAUUCAAGAAAGACAAAAAAAGUAAAAGCAUUGAGGGAUAAACUGUGAAAGUAUAGUAAAUUUGAAAAACAGUUUCCAAUCAUGUUCUUGUACUAUACACAUGUUAGAUUAUCACAUCUACUAUAUAUAUCUUCUCAACAUGAGGCACAAGUAUCUCCCAAAAGUCAAGGAGACUCAACACAAACUGCAAAACGAGUGAUGAGAGGUGAGAGAGAAAUGGUUACAGACGUAUCCAUGGCUUCCCUCAAGCUUCUGCUGCUGUUGUUCAUUCUCAGCUUCCUCCACUUCAACACUUGCAAAGCACAGGAACUGAACUCCGACCCCGUCUACCUGUACCAUAACUGUUCAGGCGGCAACACCACCGCCAACAGUGCCUACCAACUAAACCUCGGCACCCUCCUCACUUCCCUAUCUUCCAACGCCUCCACAGAAUUCUCCAACAACACUGUCGGAACAUCCUCGUCCGACAGGGUGUACGGACUGUUCAUGUGCAGGGGAGACGUGCCCUCUACGCUUUGUCACCAGUGCGUGUUGAACGCAACGCGACGUCUCCGCUCGGAUUGCUCUCUGGCCAAACAGGCCGUCAUAUGGUACGACGAGUGCACGGUUCGCUACUCGAACAUCUCUUUCUUCUCCACGGUGGCCACUCGGCCGCGUGUCGGACUCCUCAACACCGGCAACAUAUCCAACCCAGAAGCCUUCAUGACCCUGCUUUUCUCAACCAUUAACACAACCGCGGAUGAGGCUGCCAACUUUCACAUGGGUGUGAAGAAAUACGCGACGAAUCAGGCCAACUUUUCUGGGUUUCAGACUCUGUACUGUUUGGCUCAGUGCACACCCGAUCUGUCCCCAGGAGACUGCAGAAAUUGUCUCAGUGGUGUGAUUGGAGACCUUCCAUGGUGCUGCCAGGGAAAGCAGGGAGGAAGGGUUCUCUAUCCUAGCUGCAAUGUUAGGUACGAACUCUACCCUUUCUACCGCGCCACAGCCACGCCUUCACCUUCACCUUCACCCUCACCGCCCCUACUUCCUCCUCCAACUUCCGGUAAUUCCCGAGGUAUAAUCUUCACACUUCAAUUGCAACACUCUCUCACUAUUAAUAUUGUUCUUCUCUGAUCAAGCAUAUUGUAGUAUCAUGGUUCGAGUUCAUGCUGAUAUUGAAAGGGGUCAAUUCUCGAUACUUAUAUUGAAGAGUAUUGAUUCUUACGUUAGCACAAAUUGAUACUGAGUAAUUAGUCUUUAUUAUUAGAAUUGGCCAAGAACAAUUUCAGAUACAGACAAGAGGAAAAGGAUUCGAGUAUAUGUAGAGGAAGACACGGAAAAAGAAGUAUCACACACUCAGAGUACACUUAUUCUUAGUAGUUCUAGGUUUAGAGUCGUUCAUAGUCUUGUCUGGAAGCACAUAAGUAACUGUAUUAAGUUUGUGUUGAAUUAUAUGUAAUUGCUUUCGU
rnacentral:lncRNA from 1 species